CUUGAACGCUGGCGGCAGGCCUAACACAUGCAAGUCGAACGAGUGGCGGACGGGUGAGUAAUGUCUGGGAAACUGCCCGAUGGAGGGGGAUCACUACUGGAAACGGUAGCUAAUACCGCAUACCAUCGGAUGUGCCCAGAUGGGAUUAGAUAGUAGGAGGGGUAACGGCUCACCUAGGCGACAAUCCCUAGCUGGUCUGAGAGGAUGACCACCCCCACUGGAACUGAGACACGGUCCAGACUCCUCCAAGACGCAUCAUUUUAAAAUAUUGCACAAUAGGCGCAAGCCUGAGUCAGCCAUGCCGCGUGUAUGAAGAAUCCCUUCGGGUUUUAAAGUACUUUCAGCGAGAAGGCGUUACUCGCAGAAGAAGCAUCGGCUAACUCCGUGCCAGCAGCCGCGGUAAUAC
rnacentral:rRNA from 1 species